GUAAUUUGACAGCGUUGAUCAUUCGGUGUGUCGCUGUACACUGUCCUGCUUGAAGUGUGCUUUAGCAAGGAAUUAAUUAGAGUACAUGUUUAAAUAUCCUACUUCCUCACUUUGAGGGGAAAAAGUGGUUUCUAUUUUCUGAAUGAGUGAUUUAUAUCCUUGAAAGUUACCUGACCUUGUGCCACAAUGCAAUGAUCAAGUGUUGCAUUAACUGCUAGUCUUGGAGUGCUUGAUGAACAGCUCAUUGUUUACGCAGCAGCUGGUGGAUCUGCAUGUUUGAUUUUGGCACAGAUUUUACGCUGGAUGCCCUUCUUGACACAACCUUCCUACUAAGAGUACAUCAGCUUGUGACCCCCUGAGGCCCCUUUGUGUCGCCUUGUGGGACCUUUUGCGGCGUUAUCGGCAGCGGACUUCCUAACAGAAAGGACAACCAUCAGGAUGGCAGUUUUCAGCACACUUCUGACUUUGGCACUUCAGGCUCUUACAUUUCUCUUCUUUCUGCUUAUCGUUGCGUUUCUUGCAUACUGCUUGUACGUAAAACACAUUCAUAUGAAAUAUGACCACGUACCCGGCCCACCGAGGGACAGUUUUCUCCUCGGACAUUCACCAACGUUUUCAAGGAUAUUAAAAAAUGGCGGAAAUGUACAUGAACAAUUCCUAGAGUGGGCAGAGGAGUAUGGGCCUGUGUGCAGGAUUAAUGCUCUUCAUUAUGUUCUAGUGUCUGUGUCAUAUCCAGAAGCAACAA